UAGAGUUUGAUCCUGGCUCAGGAUGAACGCUAGCUACAGGCUUAACACAUGCAAGUCGAGGGGAAACGACAUCGAAAGCUUGCUUUUGAUGGGCGUCGACCGGCGCACGGGUGAGUAACGCGUAUCCAACCUGCCCACCACUUGGGGAUAACCUUGCGAAAGUAAGACUAAUACCCAAUGAUAUCUCUAGAAGACAUCUGAAAGAGAUUAAAGAUUUAUCGGUGAUGGAUGGGGAUGCGUCUGAUUAGCUUGUUGGCGGGGUAACGGCCCACCAAGGCAACGAUCAGUAGGGGUUCUGAGAGGAAGGUCCCCCACAUUGGAACUGAGACACGGUCCAAACUCCUACGGGAGGCAGCAGUGAGGAAUAUUGGUCAAUGGACGAGAGUCUGAACCAGCCAAGUAGCGUGCAGGAUGACGGCCCUAUGGGUUGUAAACUGCUUUUAUAAGGGAAUAAAGUGAGUCUCGUGAGACUUUUUGCAUGUACCUUAUGAAUAAGGACCGGCUAAUUCCGUGCCAGCAGCCGCGGUAAUACGGAAGGUCCGGGCGUUAUCCGGAUUUAUUGGGUUUAAAGGGAGCGUAGGCCGGAGAUUAAGCGUGUUGUGAAAUGUAGACGCUCAACGUCUGCACUGCAGCGCGAACUGGUUUCCUUGAGUACGCACAAAGUGGGCGGAAUUCGUGGUGUAGCGGUGAAAUGCUUAGAUAUCACGAAGAACUCCGAUUGCGAAGGCAGCUCACUGGAGCGCAACUGACGCUGAAGCUCGAAAGUGCGGGUAUCGGACAGGAUUAGAUACCCUGGUAGUCCGCACGGUAAACGAUGGAUGCCCGCUGUUGGUCUGAAUAGGUCAGCGGCCACGCGAAAGCAUUAAGCAUCCCACCUGGGGAGUACGCCGGCAACGGUGAAACUCAAAGGAAUUGACGGAA
rnacentral:rRNA from 1 species